GCUGAGAUGGCAGAGCGGUUAUGCACCCGCCUGCAGAGCGGGUUAGGGGGGUUCGACUCCCUCUCUCAGCU
rnacentral:tRNA from 1 species